rfam:Pelecanus crispus contig55142, whole genome shotgun sequence.
UAAACGGUCUUUUUAAAGACCAUUUUUAGUGUGUAUGAUAAGUUUG